UGCAGUCGAACGGUGACGAUGGAGCUUGCUCUGUCUGAUCAGUGGCGAACGGGUGAGUAACACGUGAGUAACCUGCCCCCGACUCUGGAAUAACCGUGGGAAACGACGGCUAAUACCGGAUAUGAGACGCACAGGCAUCUGUGUGUCUGGAAAGAUUUAUCGGUCAGGGAUGGACUCGCGGCCUAUCAGCUUGUUGGUGGGGUAACGGCCUACCAAGGCGACGACGGGUAGCCGGCCUGAGAGGGCGACCGGCCACACUGGGACUGAGAUACGGCCCAGACUCCUACGGGAGGCAGCAGUGGGGAAUAUUGCACAAUGGGCGCAAGCCUGAUGCAGCGACGCCGCGUGAGGGAUGAAGGCCUUCGGGUUGUAAACCUCUUUCAGCAGGGAAGAAGCGAAAGUGACGGUACCUGCAGAAGAAGCGCCGGCUAACUACGUGCCAGCAGCCGCGGUAAUACGUAGGGCGCAAGCGUUGUCCGGAAUUAUUGGGCGUAAAGAGCUCGUAGGCGGUUUGUCGCGUCUGCUGUGAAAACCUGAGGCUCAACCUCGGGCUUGCAGUGGGUACGGGCAGACUAGAGUGCGGUAGGGGUGACUGGAAUUCCUGGUGUAGCGGUGGAAUGCGCAGAUAUCAGGAGGAACACCGAUGGCGAAGGCAGGUCACUGGGCCGCAACUGACGCUGAGGAGCGAAAGCAUGGGGAGCGAACAGGAUUAGAUACCCUGGUAGUCCAUGCCGUAAACGUUGGGCACUAGGUGUGGGGCUCAUUCCACGAGUUCCGUGCCGCAGCAAACGCAUUAAGUGCCCCGCCUGGGGAGUACGGCCGCAAGGCUAAAACUCAAAGAAAUUGACGGGGGCCCGCACAAGCGGCGGAGCAUGCGGAUUAAUUCGAUGCAACGCGAAGAACCUUACCAAGGCUUGACAUACACCGGAAAAGUGCAGAGAUGUGCUCCCCGCAAGGUCGGUGUACAGGUGGUGCAUGGUUGUCGUCAGCUCGUGUCGUGAGAUGUUGGGUUAAGUCCCGCAACGAGCGCAACCCUCGUCCUAUGUUGCCAGCGGGUUAUGCC
rnacentral:rRNA from 1 species